rnacentral:misc_RNA from 1 species
GAUGAAGAACGUAGCGAAAUGCGAUAAGUAAUGUGAAUUGCAGAAUUCAGUGAAUCAUCGAAUCUUUGAACGCACAUUGCGCCCGCCAGUAUUCUGGCGGGCAUGCCUGUCUGAGCGUCAUUUCAACCCUCAUGCCCCUAGGGCGUGGUGUUGGGGAUCGUCCAAAGCCCGCGAGGGACGGCCGGCCCCUAAAUCUAGUGGCGGACCCGUCGUGGCCUCCUCUGCGAAGUAGUGAUAUUCCGCAUCGGAGAGCGACGAGCCCCUGCCGUUAAACCCCCAACUUUCCAAGGUUGACCUCAGAUCAGGUAGGAAUACCCGCUGAACUUAAGCAUAUCAAUAAGCGGAGGA